AUUUCUCUCCAUCCCUUUACAUUGAGCCUCUCGGUGUCAUUGCAUAUCAGAUGGGUCUCUUCAAGACAGCAUACAGUUUGGUCUUGUUCCUUUAUCCAACGUGCCACUCUGUGCUUUUUAGCUGGGACAUUUAGCCAACUUACAUUUAAGAUGAAUGGAGAGGACUCCAGACCGAGAGGCCAAGUGUACUGGAUGCACGGAGCCUGGAUUUCUGAACAACUGCAUGGCAAGCACUUCCUGAAGGUGCACCUAACAAGGAAUACUGUGAUAAUCCCUACAACUUCUGGGAGAGGUGCAAGUAUCAACCAGUUGGAGACACAGGGAAAGGGUGAUAUAAUGCAGAAAGUGACUUGAACAAAUUUACACAGAAGGCAGUGAAGUGUGAUUCAAAUUCAAGCAGUCUAGACUGUGCCCCACACAACUCUGCAGCAUAACCUUGCAGUAUGAAAAUAAUGCCUCUCAUGCAGAUCAGGGAUAUGAGAUCCAGUGACUUACCCAAAGUUUCAAAGGAAAGAUGUAACAGAGCCAUCUCUGAACUUCUGCUCUUGGGAAUCUACACACUCUUUCCACUAGUUCUGACCUUAGCAGGUGUUUGACCCAGGACUUGCCCAACUUGGUUUCCAUUUGUAUAGAACUAAUGCCAAAUUUCAAAAGAAAAUAUUACAUACCAUAAUCAAUAAAAACAAAAUAUCAAACAUGUAUUAUGUGGGAAAGACUGAGAUAAAUACUUGGCAUUGCAUUACCUCAAUACUGUUGGCAACCUUCCUACGAGCCUCAUGCAAUUACUGCUACCACUUUGCAGAUGAGAAAAAGAAAACUGAUGCUAAGCAAAGUUUAGUAACUUGCCCAAUAUCACAAGAAGUAGUGAGUGACAGAGGAAGACUUAGCUCACAUCUGAGUGUCUCCAAAUCCCAAAUCCCAA
rnacentral:lncRNA from 10 species